GCGGGUGUAACACAGUGGCAGUGUGCUUGCUUCCCAAGCAAGAUACGCGAGUUCGAUUCUCGUCACCCGCU
rnacentral:tRNA from 1 species